rnacentral:rRNA from 1 species
AUUGAACGCUGGCGGCGUGCUUAACACAUGCAAGUCGAUCGGUAACAGGUGUAGCAAUACAUGCUGACGAGAGGCGGACGGGUGAGGAACGCUUGGGAUCUGCCUAUCAGCGGGGGACAACCCGGGGAAACCCGGGCUAAUACCGCAUACGCUCUACGGAGGAAAGCCGGGGACCGCAAGGCCUGGCACUGAGAGAUGAGCCCAAGUCGGAUUAGCUAGUUGGCGGGGUAACGGCCCACCAAGGCUCCGAUCGGUAGCCGGCCUGAGAGGGCGGACGGCCACACUGGGACUGAGACACGGCCCAGACUCCUACGGGAGGCAGCAGUGGGGAACUUUUCGCAAUGGGGGCAACCCUGACGAAGCAACGCCGCGUGGAGGAUGAAGGCCUUCGGGUCGUAAACUCCUGUCGACCGGGACGAAUGCGCCCGACCUAAUACGUCGGAACGUUGACGGUACCGGUGGAGGAAGCCACGGCUAACUCUGUGCCAGCCGCCGCCGUAAAAC